rnacentral:Y_RNA from 1 species
GGCUGGUCCGAUGGUAGUGGGUGAUCUGAACUUAUUAACAUUAGUGUCACUAAAGUUGGUAUACAACCCCCACUGCUAAAUUUGGCUAAAAA